GACGAACGCUGGCGGCGUGCUUAACACAUGCAAGUCGAACGGAAAGGCCCUGCUUUUGUGGGGUGCUCGAGUGGCGAACGGGUGAGUAACACGUGAGUAACCUGCCCUUGACUUUGGGAUAACUUCAGGAAACUGGGGCUAAUACCGGAUAGGAGCUCCUGCUGCAUGGUGGGGGUUGGAAAGUUUCGGCGGUUGGGGAUGGACUCGCGGCUUAUCAGCUUGUUGGUGGGGUAGUGGCUUACCAAGGCUUUGACGGGUAGCCGGCCUGAGAGAGUGACCGGCCACAUUGGGACUGAGAUACGGCCCAGACUCCUACGGGAGGCAGCAGUGGGGAAUAUUGCACAAUGGGCGGAAGCCUGAUGCAGCAACGCCGCGUGCGGGAUGACGGCCUUCGGGUUGUAAACCGCUUUCGCCUGUGACGGAGCGUGAGUGACGGUAAUAGGUAAAGAAGCACCGGCUAACUACGUG
rnacentral:rRNA from 1 species